UACGAAGGGUGCAAGCGUUACUCGGAAUUACUGGGCGUAAAGCGUGCGUAGGUGGUUUGUUAAGUCUGAUGUGAGAGCCCUGGGCUCAACCUGGGAAUGGCAUUGGAAACUGGCGAUCUAGAGUGCGGUAGAGGGUAGUGGAAUUCCCGGUGUAGCAGUGAAAUGCGUAGAGAUCGGGAGGAACAUCUGUGGCGAAGGCGACUGCCUGGACCAGCACUGACACUGAGGCACGAAAGCGUGGGGAGCAAACAGG
rnacentral:rRNA from 1 species